AUCGAACGCUGGCGGCAGGCCUAACACAUGCAAGUCGAACGAGUGGCGGACGGGUGAGUAAUGUCUGGGAACCUGCCUGCUGGAGGGGGCUAACUACUGGAAACGGUAGCUAAUACCGCAUACCAUCGGAUGUGCCCAGAUGGGAUUAGCUAGUAGGUGGGGUAAAGGCUCACCAAGGCGACGAUCCCUAGCUGGUCUGAGAGGAUGCCCAGCCACACUGGAAAUGGGACACUGUCCAGACGCCUACGGGAGUCAGCAGUGGGGAAUAUGGCACAAUGGGCGCAAGCCUGAUGCGGCCAUGCCGCGUGUAGGAAGAAGGCCUUCGGGUUGUAAAGUACUUUCAUCGGGGAGGCGUUACCCGGAGAAGAAGCACCGGCUAACUACGUGCCAGCAGCCGCGGUAAUUC
rnacentral:rRNA from 1 species